AUUCAUCUGAUGGACAAGAAGUGCGCGUCUUCUUGCUGUUCACAUAUUAUGUAUUUUACACGCCAUGCACAAGGAUUAAGGCUGGAUUAUCAACUUCUUCUCAUUGGCCGUAAGGUUCCAUCAACCACCGGCGGCUUUGAGACGUAAUUGAUGCCCUGAUUGGAUGAGAGCCAUCGCCCGUGAAAAUUACAAAGGAAUGCAACAUUGUAGGAUGGAGCUUCCUGUUCAUUUCUUUCCGACUGACGAGUCAUUUUGUGGGACUUACAUGUAACUAUGCGCGUGAUUUAAAAUCAAUGGAUCCGCCACUUUUUUGAACUUAGUUUUAGACAGAUGCGUGAUAUGAUGAACCUGGAUAUGAUUACUGUGACCCCCUUUUCACAAGGAAGAUAAAUUUUGUUAAACAGUGAUUUUUGAGAUUCGGUGAUUGGAUCCUGGAUUUAUCUUUGUUUUUAAAAUACAGUUUAAAAUAAAUUUACUCAGAAUCUUAAUACUGAAUUACAACUUACAUAUUUCGCAACUUGAAUAAAAACUUUUAUUAGAA